rnacentral:lncRNA from 1 species
UUUUUUUUCUUCCUUGGUGGACUUUUUACAACCUACUAGGAGUUGAUGGGCUUCGAAUUUUCAAGAAUCGAUGUGCAAAUAAUUUCCUUGGGAGGAACUCUUUAUGUAUUUCAAGGAGGAGUGCGUAAAGGCCUCGAGAGAUAAACGCCCAUAUGAGUCAAACAUUACCAGACUGUAGUCAAGAAAGUAUUGUCAAUCCCUGAUUGAAGUGUAGCUGCAGUUGCGUAGACAGAUACAAGAGGAUUCACUCCAAAUUGUACACCACACUCAGGCAUGGGACUAAGAACGAUCUACAAUCAGAAAGUGAUUCAAAAGACUCUCAGCUAAGUGCUACAUAAUGAGCAACUCGUACUCCUCAACCAAACGGCACAGCAAGAAGACAGCCAUUGGUGAAACAGGAAGAAGACCUUCAUCAGAACCCAAUCUUUGUGGCACCCUAAUCUUGGACUUCCCAACCUCCAGAGUUAUGAGAAAUAAAUUUAUGUUGUUUAAG